GAUGAAGAACGCAGCGAAAUGCGAUAAGUAAUGUGAAUUGCAGAAUUCAGUGAAUCAUCGAAUCUUUGAACGCACCUUGCGCUCCUUGGUAUUCCAAAGAGCAUGCCUGUUUGAGUAUCAUUAAAUUAUCAACUGUACCAAUUUGGUUGCAGAUUGGAUGUGGGAGAUUUUGCAGGCUUUUGAUUUCUCUUUUGAGAAAACGGUCAGCUCUCCUGAAAUAUAUUAGCAGUGCCUUUGUUGGUUCAUUAGGUGUGAUAAUUUAUCUACAUCUUCACAUGGUACCUUCAUUUGUGUAAAGGUCAUAUUGCUUCUAAUUGUCUCUGGACAUAAAAAAAAAAACAUAUAAUUGUAUGGAAAACUUGAUCUCAAAUCAGGCAGGACUACCCGCUGAACUUAAGCAUAUCAAUAAGCGGAGGA
rnacentral:misc_RNA from 1 species